AUGCUUCCUCGCUGCGGUCUUCUUGAAUUUCUUCUUCAUAGGUGCAUUGUCAGUACGGGUUUAGCUUAUGACGUGUUUGGAAGUCCUAGGCCAAACGAGUAUUUCAUGGAAAGUCGACAAGGAAUUCCAUUAAUAACCGACCGUUUUGAUUCUUUAGAACAACUCGAUGAAUUUAGUAGAUCCUUUUAG
rnacentral:rRNA from 1 species